CGGACGGGUGAGUAAUGUCUGGGAAACUGCCCGAUGGAGGGGGAUAACUACUGGAAACGGUAGCUAAUACCGCAUAACGUCGCAAGACCAAAGAGGGGGACCUUCGGGCCUCUUGCCAUCGGAUGUGCCCAGAUGGGAUUAGCUAGUAGAUGGGGUAACGGCUCACCUAGGCGACGAUCCCUAGCUGGUCUGAGAGGAUGACCAGCCACACUGGAACUGAGACACGGUCCAG
rnacentral:rRNA from 1 species